rnacentral:tRNA from 1 species
GCCUCAUUAGCUCAGUUGGAUAGAGUACUGGUCUUCGAAACCAAUGGUCGGGCGUUCGAGUCGCCCAUGGGGCACCA